rnacentral:tRNA from 1 species
GCAAGCAAGGUUUAUUCAGUUUGAUUUGAAAUCAUUCUUUUCGCUUUUAUUAGUGAUGUUUGCU